CUUCCCCCAGCCUCAAGGAUAGGCACAUGACUCAUGUCUGGCCAAUUUAUAGUACCCAAUUCCUUGGAUAAUAAUGAUUGUUCUAGAGAGGAUGCUCGUGGGAUCUAAGCAGGGACAAUCAGAAUCCAACGGGAAGAACAAUAUACAGACUGAAGGAAGUAGACUCUCUCUUUCUAUUAGGAUGGCUAAACUGGGAGAAUGUGAAUCUGGAGCUGCCCAGUGGAGAGCUCUUGUUUGUGCAGGAAGCUAAGCAGAGUCAAGCAAAAGUGAGAAGCGCAAGGAGAGAUGGUUCUUGAGAUGGAGUCUGGCUAAUAUGGGGGCUUAGGUGGAAAGAAACUGAUGGGCCCACCUGUCACAGACAAGAGAGGACUUAGAACCCAUUCCUGCAGAGAUUAAUGCUACACUUCCCUCAAAGGGGGUCUUUAGAGAGCCUGGCCUGGGACAUCCACAAAAUGUUCCGCAUAGGGAUGCACAUCAAGGUCACCUCUCCCAAAGUGCCCUUUCCCAAAGUUACUCAGGCCUUCUUGGGUCAGAUCCCAGCUCCAGGGUUUAAUGGUUGUAUGAAGGAAAUCCCUGGAAUGAAUGGAGUCUUAGAAGGCAAUUUUGAGCCAAGGAGAUGAGCAACACCUUGUGCCCUCACUGCCCCUUCCUGCCCACCACACAUCGCAAGAAUGGGGUCCUUCAGCCCGGCGUGCUCUUCUGACUCCGCCCUCUAUACGCUUUUGCUUGCAGCAGUAGAGCCACAAUUGUUGAGUAACAAAAAACCUAGCAAUCAAAUGUUUUGAUUCUUUAUCUCCUGAUUGAUAGCAGAG
rnacentral:lncRNA from 1 species